CAGAGCCCCAGCCCCUGUACCUGCCUGCAGACCUGUCAUCCCUUCAAAACACACCAUCUUUGGAAAUCACAUGCUCCUCAAAGAACCCCAAUUCCCAGCUGCUCUCAGGCUCCAGCCAAGAAAUCAUCUCUCUAUCCCAGCUUUCAACAGCUUCUACAGACACAAGCAGCCCAGGGGACCCUGAGUCCUCUCCUCUUACUGAGCCCUCAACCCUUCAUCUCUCCCCUCUUCAAAAGGCAACUGAGCAUCCUAGAGCCU
rnacentral:lncRNA from 1 species